ensembl:lncRNA
UUUUUUUUUUUUUUUUUUUUUUUUUUUUUUUUUUGGUGUGUGUGUGUGUCUUUUUGGGGCUGCACCUCUGGCAUAUGGAAGUUCCUAGGCUAGGGGGUUGAACUGGAGCUACAGCUGCCGGCCACAGCCACAGCAACGCAGGAUCCCAGCCACGUCUAUGACCUAGACUGCAGGGAUCCUUAACCCACUGGGUAGGGCCAGGGAUUGAACUCCUGUCCUCGUGGAUAUUAGUCGGGUUUGUUACCACUGAGCCAUGAAGGGCACUCCAUGACAGACUGCUUUUUGAAGCAGUUGUACCAUUUUACAUUCACAUUAGCAGUAUAACAGUCCCAGUUUCUCCCCAUCUUUGCCAAAGCUUCAUCUUUUUGGCUCUAGACAUCCUAAUGGGUAUAAAGUGGUAUCUCACUAGGGUUUUUAUUUGCAUUUCCCUGAUGACUAAGGAUGUCAAGCAUUUUUUCAUGUGUUAAUUGGACAAUUUUGUCUUCUUUGGAUAAAUAUCUACUCAAAUCCUUUGCUCAUUUUAAAAUUGGGUAACGUGUCUUUUUAUGACGGAGUUAUAAGAGUACAUAUUCUAGAUACCAAUCCUUUAUUGGUUAUCUAAUUUGUAAAUAUUUUCUUCCAUUUUGUGGGUUGUCUUUGUACUUUUUCGACGGUGUCCUUUGGAGCACAAACUUUUUAAUUUUGAUGAAGUCCAAUUUAUCUUUUUUUUUCCCCCUUUUCUUCUGUUGUUUAUGUUUUUGGUGUCUUAUCUAAUAAUCCUUAGACAAAUCCAAAGUUAUGAAGCCUUUACCCCUAUGUGUUACACUAAGAGCCUUAUGGUUUUACUUACUACUUUUAGGUCUUUGAUCUAUUUUUGGUUGUUUUUGUAUAUGGUGUGAGGUAAGGACUGAACUCAUUCUUCUGCAGGCGGCUAUCUAGUCAUCCCAGCAUGAUUGUUGAAAAAACUAUUCUUUUCCCACUGGAUGGUUUUUUCACCCUUGUUAAAACUCAGUUUACCACAGAUGUAUGGGUUUAUUUCUGGACUUUUAAUUCUACUCCACUGGCAUCUAUGUCUAUUUUUGUGUCAUUACCACAUUGUUUUAUUUCAUUUUUAGGGCUGCACCUGUGGCAUAUGGAAGUUCCCAGGCUAGGGGUCUAAUCAGAGCUACAACUGUCAGCUUAUGCCACCGCCACAGCCACGGCAUCUGAGCCACAUCUGCGACCUACACCACAGCUCAUGGCAAUGCAGGUUAAAGGAUCUGGAGUGUCACUGCUUUGGCUCUGGUUGCUGCUGUGAUGCAGGUUCAGUCCCUGGUCCUGGAACUUCCACAUGCCAUGGGUACAGCUAAAAAAAAUUAAUUAAAAAUAAAUAAAUAAAAAAGCAGCAGUCCAUAUUUGACCCGCCCUAACAUGAUCAAGCCAAACCAUCCACAAACCAGACCUAGUUUUUUUCCUCCUAUGUCAAAUGGUUGAAGGAAUUCUAUGUUGCCAUAGGUAUGAGGUAAGAGAAAGGUAUUACUGGUGCAAGAGAUGUGGGUAAUAUGGAGGUCUGGGGCACUUUGUUCAAUUUAACUUACUUGUGGCCACCAGGUUUGCUUGGGCUUCUUGCAAACUGUACAAUAUCCACUGUAAUAUAUAUAGCUAUUGCAUCUACCCAAUCUGAUGACUUUGCAUGUCUGACAGUAAUAGGCUGGUUGUAUCGGCAACUGGUCACAUAGUCACUUGCUAUGUUGUGGUCAGGCACUGAAUCUCCAGCAAAGCAAAGGAGAUGCUUUGCAAAUGGUGAAACUUUGUCUGCUAUAGGUAGCAUUGUCUUACUCCAGAACCUUAGAGGUCUGUGCUGGAAUUUUCCUACUGUAGAUUGCUACAGAAUCCACACACCUUUACACCUCUAGUAUCAUGUUAUUCUCCACGUGAUAUAGCCCAAGCAACAGGACUGGCAGUAUCACAGCCUAGACUUGCUGUAGAGGCCUUUCCCGCAUUCCUAAGUUCAUAAUAUGCUGCUUCCAAAACUGGAAGAGGCUUACCAACUCACUGCUUCUUUCUUGGGGUAAAGAUAAAGUAACUUAGCUUUACUCUAGAGAGGAUGUCCCAGAAUGCUCCAGACCACUGAACACCUACCUAAUAACCAACAUGGCAGGGCCCUGCAUCUUUUGAAGAAUUAAUCUUCAAAAGUGUAUGUGUCUCACCAAGGAAUCCUGAAUAUCUGAACUGCUUGUUCAUCAGAUCUGAUUAGCCUAUCCCUAAUACCUGAAGAGCACAAGCUUAAUAAAGCAAACAAAUGUGAUAUUCUGCAGAAUGUCCAGGUCCUUUUGGACUAUACUGUGACAGAAAAGGGGAGAAUUAAAGUAGCUCUAGAUCUAGACUGUGAAUAUAUAUUGUUGCCCAUCAUUUCUGACUAUAAACUACUUCUGAAACUUCUUCUGAUUGGUAUAUAGAAAGAACAUAUUUACUAGAUCUGGGGUCAGCAAACUUUCUAUAAAAGGUAAGUACUACAUGUUAAUAGCCACAUACUUACAUCAGAGGCUGUGCUUCGCUCUCCAGUAAGUACAUCCGACACAGGACACCGAGAUUACUACUUGCUUAAGUUUGCAGCAGUCCACUGGAAUCCACCACAGCCCAUCCGAUGUUUGCAAGGGCCAGAAAGGUGAAACUAAUUGCUGCCAUCUUCCCCAAAAUGCGGUAUUAUUACUUUUUAUUUACCAUCUUGGCAGAGGUGGGGUGCAGUAUCAGUGGCUUCUAUUUGGCUUUUCUGUCAACUCCCAAAUACGCCCAUUCUGAUUUUGUAUUUGGACACUGGAAAAAUGACCAUAAAGUGAUUUAAAAAAAAAUUUACUGGAGUUCCCAUCGUGGCGCAGUGGUUAUCGAAUCCGACUAGGAACCAUGAACACUAUAUAAAUAACAUUAAUAAACGUAAUGUGAAAUGUUAGAAUACCGCACCAUUUGAGGAGCUUCCCAAAAUGAAAUACUCAAGAAAACAAGGAAAGAUGGCAUUCAGUCUCCUUUAUCAACUGAGUUGCCGACUGGGCUGGGCAAGGGAAGAUCUGGUGCUGCUGUGAGCUGUGGCGUAGGUUGCAGACAUGGAUUGGAUGGGCAGAAACUUAGCCUGGGCUGGGCAAGGGAGGUGGUGCCAAAACCCAGCAGUGUCACGCUCUGCAGAACUAGUCUGCUGAUAUUCCUCAGCAGCAGCUUAGAGGAGCUGAGGAAGAUCGGGAAAAGACUUGGAUGAAAAAUAGGCUGCAAUCCUCACUCAGAAUAUUUAUUAGUCAGGAAAAAGGACCCAGGUUGCACCCCACCCCCUUUCCCCAAGCCACCUCCCUGAACCAAGGGACAGGAUUCAAAGGAAUCAGAUGUCUCAAGUAAGCUGGAAUGUAUCUGGGGAAGAACAGUCAUUCAGUUCCUAGACCUGACACUAUAAUCACAUAUGUCUGCCAGGGAGAAAGGGGACCACUGAGAAUGGUAGAGACUAGAGGGGAAUCAGGAUGGGUCCUUCUUUCUCACAGCUUGGGCUCAGAAUAAAGAGGUUUUUGAUAUGGAGAGAUGAGAGGGCAGGCAGGAGGGAAAGGAUGGUCAAGGACUGGGUUCUCCCAGAUCACAGAGCACUGCAGAAAGAACCAGGGCAGCUCUCUGAGUUCUCAGGUUGGAACCAGGAGCUGGGGGCUCUGUACCUGGAGAGAGAAGAAUCCCAGCGUUUCUUUUUCAAUCUACAGAGAUUAGAUGCAACCCCCUCACUUUCUCUUCAGAAAAUUCAGAACGGUCUGAAGGUAAGAGGGUGUAGUGACAGACCUGUAGUCCCAGCUCAGGCUAAGUUUCUCCCCAUUCAUUCCCAAAGGCCCUGCCCAAG